GUUUGAUCCUGGCUCAGAACGAACGCUGGCGGCGUGGAUAAGACAUGCAAGUCGAACGAGAGAAUUGCUAGCUUGCUAAUAAUUCUCUAGUGGCGCACGGGUGAGUAACACGUGAGUAACCUGCCCCCGAGAGCGGGAUAGCCCUGGGAAACUGGGAUUAAUACCGCAUAGUAUCGAAAGAUUAAAGCAGCAAUGCGCUUGGGGAUGGGCUCGCGGCCUAUUAGCUAGUUGGUGAGGUAACGGCUCACCAAGGCGAUGACGGGUAGCCGGUCUGAGAGGAUGUCCGGCCACACUGGAACUGAGACACGGUCCAGACACCUACGGGUGGCAGCAGUCGAGAAUCAUUCACAAUGGGGGAAACCCUGAUGGUGCGACGCCGCGUGGGGGAAUGAAGGUCUUCGGAUUGUAAACCCCUGUCAUGUGGGAGCAAAUUAAAAAGAUAGUACCACAAGAGGAAGAGACGGCUAACUCUGUGCCAGCAGCCGCGGUAAUACAGAGGUCUCAAGCGUUGUUCGGAAUCACUGGGCGUAAAGCGUGCGUAGGCUGUUUCGUAAGUCGUGUGUGAAAGGCGCGGGCUCAACCCGCGGACGGCACAUGAUACUGCGAGACUAGAGUAAUGGAGGGGGAACCGGAAUUCUCGGUGUAGCAGUGAAAUGCGUAGAUAUCGAGAGGAACACUCGUGGCGAAGGCGGGUUCCUGGACAUUAACUGACGCUGAGGCACGAAGGCCAGGGGAGCGAAAGGGAUUAGAUACCCCUGUAGUCCUGGCAGUAAACGGUGCACGCUUGGUGUGCGGGGAAUCGACCCCCUGCGUGCCGGAGCUAACGCGUUAAGCGUGCCGCCUGGGGAGUACGGUCGCAAGAUUAAAACUCAAAGAAAUUGACGGGGACCCGCACAAGCGGUGGAGUAUGUGGCUUAAUUCGAUGCAACGCGAAGAACCUUACCUGGGCUUGACAUGUAAUGAACAACAUGUGAAAGCAUGCGACUCUUCGGAGGCGUUACACAGGUGCUGCAUGGCCGUCGUCAGCUCGUGUCGUGAGAUGUUUGGUUAAGUCCAGCAACGAGCGCAACCCCUGUUGCCAGUUACCAGCACGUGAAGGUGGGGACUCUGGCGAGACUGCCCAGAUCAACUGGGAGGAAGGUGGGGACGACGUCAGGUCAGUAUGGCCCUUAUGCCCAGGGCUGCACACGUACUACAAUGCCCAGUACAGAGGGGGCCGAAGCCGCGAGGCGGAGGAAAUCCUAAAAACUGGGCCCAGUUCGGACUGUAGGCUGCAACCCGCCUACACGAAGCCGGAAUCGCUAGUAAUGGCGCAUCAGCUACGGCGCCGUGAAUACGUUCCCGGGUCUUGUACACACCGCCCGUCACAUCAUGGAAGCCGGUCGCACCCGAAGUAUCUGAAGCCAACCGCAAGGAGGCAGGGUCCUAAGGUGAGACUGGUAACUGGGAUGAAGUCGUAACAAGGUAGCCG
rnacentral:rRNA from 1 species